rnacentral:rRNA from 1 species
CUACGGAGGGUGCGAGCGUUAAUCGGAAUUACUGGGCGUAAAGGGUGCGUAGGCGGCUUGAUAAGUCGGAUGUGAAAGCCCCGGGCUUAACCUGGGAAUUGCAUUCGAUACUGUCAGGCUAGAGUAUGUCAGAGGUUGGCGGAAUUCCUGGUGUAGCGGUGAAAUGCGUAGAUAUCAGGAGGAACACCAGUGGCGAAGGAGGCUAACUGGGACAAUACUGACGCUGAGGCACGAAAGCGUGGGGAGCAAACAGGAUUAGAAACCCUAGUAGUCC